AUUGAACGCUGGCGGCAUGCCUUACACAUGCAAGUCGAACGGCAGCACAGGAGCUGCCACCUGGUGCGGAGUGCGAGACGCGUGAGGGAUAGGACGACACCGGUCCCUACGUGGUCGUUGGGGCGAAGGAAGGCAGAUUAACGCCACAACCGAUCUAGACCUAAAAGCGAAAGCAGGGGAGCUUCGGACCUUGCGCGAUUGCAUGAGGCGAUGUAGGAUUAGCUAGUUGGAGGGGUAAAGGCCGACGAAGGCGACGAUCCGUAGCUGGUCUGAGAGGAGGAUCAGCCACACUGGAACUGAGACACGGCCCAGACUCCUACGGGAGGCAGCAGUGGGGAAUAUUGGACAAUGGGCGCAAGCCUGAUCCAGCAAUGCCGCGUGUGUGAAGAAGGCCUUCGGGUUGUAAAGCCCUUUUGUUGGGAAAGAAAAGCAGCACGUUAAUACCGUGCUGUUCUGACGGUACCCAAAGAAUAAGCACCGGCUAACUACGUG
rnacentral:rRNA from 1 species